rnacentral:rRNA from 1 species
UACGUAGGUGGCGAGCGUUGUCCGGAUUUAUUGGGCGUAAAGCGCGCGCAGGUGGUGCGGUAAGUCUAUCGUGAAAUCUCCCGGCUCAACUGGGAGGGUGCGGUGGAGACUGCCGGACUGGAGGCACUCAGAGGCCGGUGGAAUUCCCGGUGUAGUGGUGAAAUGGCGUAGAGAUCGGGAGGAACACCAGUGGCGAAGGCGGCCGGCUGGGGUGACCUGACGCUGGAGGCGCGAAAGCGUGGGAGCGAACCGG